rnacentral:rRNA from 1 species
GAUGAACGCUGGCGGCGUGCCUAAUACAUGCAAGUCGAGCGAACAGACGAGGAGCUUGCUCCUCUGACGUUAGCGGCGGACGGGUGAGUAAAACGUGGAUAACCUACCUAUAAGACUGGGAUAACUUCGGGAAACCGGAGCUAAUACCGGAUAAUCUAUUGAACCGCAUGGUUCAAUAGUGAAAGACGGUUUUGCUGUCACUUAUAGAUGGAUCCGCGCCGCAUUAGCUAGUUGGUAAGGUAACGGCUUACCAAGGCAACGAUGCGUAGCCGACCUGAGAGGGUGAUCGGCCCCACUGGAACUGAGACACGGUCCAGACUCCUACGGGAGGCAGCAGUAGGGAAUCUUCCGCAAUGGGCGAAAGCCUGACGGAGCAACGCCGCGUGAGUGAUGAAGGUCUUCGGAUCGUAAAACUCUGUUAUUAGGGAAGAACAAAUGUGUAAGUAACUAUGCACGUCUUGACGGUACCUAAUCAGAAAGCCACGGCUAACUACGUG